rnacentral:lncRNA from 1 species
CCUUCUUACUUUGCAGAAGUGAAUAUGCAAACUUCUCCAGUUUUCCCAGUAGCUGCUGUGAACUAUUUGUCAUAACCUUAAGACAACUCGAGAAAUCAAAGCACCUACAAAACCUCUGCUUUGGGAUUACUGGAAGAAUUAUUUUGACUAAAUUCAAACAUCCUCAGUACGCAGUUCUGGAAAAACAAUGAAUAUAAAUGUCACAUUCAGCCGUUCACUUUUAGUUCAGAGUAAGUGUUUUUCUGCCAAAGGACUAUACAUGCUAUAUAAUCCUCAACUCCUUCAGGAUUUUAAUCCACCGUGAAGCAUAUGGUAAAAAGGGUGACUGAAGGAUCUGAGUCCAGAGAGAAUUGUACAUAUGCUGUAGAUAUCCUACUUUAUUCCCUAUCAGAACUGAAGAGGUCACUGUGUCUGAAACAAACCUGAACUUGAAGCCCAAGUAAUAAGUAACGUGAAUGCAAACAGAACAAGAGAUCUCUCCCUGAAGUCAGCACGAAGCAGCUGAUAUUCCUCGCUGCCCCCCUGCAAACGAGCUAAGUGGGAAGAGGAAAGCAUUAAAGCUCAGGAAGCCUGAAUAGAGCCUGCAAUCUGAUAAACCUAAGGCUGCAAAGAGCUACCCUCCUUUCCAGGUUACCCCCACUUCUCCCUGGCACAACGUAGUAUUCUGAGUCCCCACUCUCAGAAAGGAGGGGAGAAGCUUGCUAUGCAGAGAAGCCUUUAUCUUCCCAGCUGUGUGAACUAACCCAGAUUUACUGAGCAAGCUU